rnacentral:ncRNA from 2 species
GUUAACCACAAGGGGAGCUUUUUGCUGAGAUUGAACUAGAUUGUUCUGACCCUUUGAACCUGUUAGUUAAUGCUAGCGCAGGGAUGUGGACGGACAGACGG